GUUUCUUCUGGGGGACAAUGCCCAAGCCUGUUCGGAGUCCUGCAAAGAUGCAGAAACCUUGGCAUUUUACAGACCGAAAUGCAUAUUCUACUUCUGGGGAAGAUUGUAUCUGCAAAGUUGGAAAAGGAAAACAAACUCUUCAAUUCCUCCGUUGUAUAAACAAGUUGAUCACAUUUUAAUUGGAAGCCUGGAAUGUAUGGAGUGCAAAGGAAGUGAAUUGCACCAAGUCCUUGCGCUCCAGAAUCUCCCAGGGAAGGAGGCGAGGCAGAUUUUGUUUUGUUUCGGGUGUUUUUAUUCAACCACCUCCAAGGAUUCAUGCUUCUUCGUUGAGCUCCCCAGGAAGGGAAUUCUCUUUACCAAUGCAGGUGUUGGAGGUGAUCCAGGAGGACCUGAGAGUUCCAGCCAAGAUGACUGUGGAUCCAGGGCUGCAAGGAGGAUGGUGCAGCCCAUCAGCCUGGCAUAG
rnacentral:lncRNA from 1 species